GUCAAAAACAAGCCUCCCAUCGACCAGAGGUUACAGCGAUGUCCAGCUCUUUUCACCGAAAGCCGGGAAAGGCUACAGGACCCAUGCCACAGUGUCUGUCCUUCUUGGCUUCCUGCUCUUCCUCAUCCCUGCCAGGCGACCCUUCUCCUCUUCCUCUUCCUCCUCCUGCUGUAGAAACACAGUCGGAGACUCUGCGCCUCAACCCGCUGCGCACUUUGAUCCCAU